GACGAACGCUGGCGGCGUGCCUAAUACAUGCAAGUUGAGCGCUGAAGGUUGGUACUUGUACCAACUGGAUGAGCAGCGAACGGGUGAGUAACGCGUGGGGAAUCUGCCUUUGAGCGGGGGACAACAUUUGGAAACGAAUGCUAAUACCGCAUAAAAACUUUAAACACAAGUUUUAAGUUUGAAAGAUGCAAUUGCAUCACUCAAAGAUGAUCCCGCGUUGUAUUAGCUAGUUGGUGAGGUAAAGGCUCACCAAGGCGAUGAUACAUAGCCGACCUGAGAGGGUGAUCGGCCACAUUGGGACUGAGACACGGCCCAAACUCCUACGGGAGGCAGCAGUAGGGAAUCUUCGGCAAUGGACGAAAGUCUGACCGAGCAACGCCGCGUGAGUGAAGAAGGUUUUCGGAUCGUAAAACUCUGUUGGUAGAGAAGAACGUUGGUGAGAGUGGAAAGCUCAUCAAGUGACGGUAACUACCCAGAAAGGGACGGCUAACUACGUGCCAGCAGCCGCGGUAAUACGUAGGUCCCGAGCGUUGUCCGGAUUUAUUGGGCGUAAAGCGAGCGCAGGUGGUUUAUUAAGUCUGGUGUAAAAGGCAGUGGCUCAACCAUUGUAUG
rnacentral:rRNA from 1 species